rnacentral:lncRNA from 1 species
AUGUUGGACACCGGCUCUAUGGCCUGUACGUUAAAUGAUUCAGUUGUCAGUAAACUAAGGGAACAUGGUGCUUUGGAUACUGUUAAGGAAGAAGAUACAGACGUCGUCUUAAUUGGAUGUGGCGGCAAACGAACAUUCCCAAAGUGCAUGCUUGCGCUUAAGCUGGACAUUUACGGCUGUGACGUUAUUGUCCCUUGUCUUGUUGUUCCAGGCCAAGGAGAUGAUCUCAUUCUGGGGACAAACGUCAUCAAACAUCUUGUUCACAGAUUAAAAGAUUCUGACAGAUAUUGGGAACUGAUCUCUACACCCAGUGGACAUAAUCCAGAGAGUGACGAGUUCUUGUCUAUGAUGGCUGGAGUAUGUCGAUGGAGGGGUGGAACUAUUCCAGAUGUUGUUGGUACAGUUAAACUUCAACACACUGUUACACUUUCGCCUGGCCAAGAGCAUCUUGUCUGGGGUAAACUCCCUCUUAAGUCCUGUAGCCAACCGGGCAGUACAGUUAUGGUGGAGCCAUCUAGACUUCGUUCUGCCUCCAGGAAUGUUUUAGUGUGUCGUGUUGUCACUCCGCUUUGGGGCGAUGGCUGGAUUCCACUUAACAUCAACCCUAGCGAUAAACCAGUAACACUGAAGAGAAACGCCAAAGUGGCCGAUGUUUAUCCCUGUAUUGCGUUGGAGGAUGUGUGCGAAACAAGGCCUGAGCUUCCACUUCGAUCGAGCAGUCAGCAGUCAGCAGCUGAGUCAGAUAAGUCUAAUAAACUGACCGACAGACUCUGUAAGUGUGGAUUAGUGACUGUUGAUUUGGAAAAGUGCGAAGUUUCUGAAUUCUGGAAGGCAAAAUUGUGUGACUUAGUGCUCGAGUAUGAGUCUAUCUUUUCCAGACAUUCUCUUGAUUGCGGUGAAGUCAAGGACUUUGUACACAGGAUUUGUCUGUUCGACGAAAGGCCGUUUCGCUUACCAUACAGACGAGUCCCUCCUUCACAAUACCAGGAAUUACGUGUUGCUUUGAACGAGAUGGAGGAGAGGGGAAUAAUUAGCAAGUCAGUCACUGAAUUCGCGUCACCUUUGGUUCUGUGCUGGAAAAAAGAUGGCAAUCUUCGCAUAUGUACAGAUUUCAGUGAAGGAUGCACACCCCCUGCCCCAUCAGGAAGACUGUCUAGCAGCCCUCCAGACAUUCUCUUGAUUGCGGUGAAGUCAAGGACUUUGUACACAGGAUUCGUCUGUUCGACGAAAGGCCGUUUCGCUUACCAUACAGACGAGUCCCUCCUUCACAAUACCAGGAAUUACGUGUUGCUUUGA